rnacentral:lncRNA from 1 species
UGUCAAAUUCUCGACCCCCAAUGGCGUGAAAACGAUCUGGGACAGUCAGAAAAAUUCUCGGAUGUGUUUCAUGGCAGCACACAAACUCCGAAACCCUGUCACUGAAGCGAAGGCUGAAACCGAUCACAAGAAAUCAAAACUUGGCCGGAGUGAAGAGAAGGCUAUAUCUAAACAGUUAUAGCAAUUACAGAUCGAGGAGGCGCGCGAGGAU